CCUACGGGAGGCAGCAGUGGGGAAUAUUGCACAAUGGGGGAAACCCUGAUGCAGCGACGCCGCGUGAGUGAAGAAGUAUUUCGGUACGUAAAGCUCUAUCAGCAGGGAAGAAAAUGACGGUACCUGACUAAGAAGCCCCGGCUAACUACGUGCCAGCAGCCGCGGUAAUACGUAGGGUGCAAGCGUUAUUCGGAGUUACUGGGUGUAAAGGGAGCGUAGACGGCAGCGCAAGUCUGGAGUGAAAUCCCAUGGCUUAACCAUGGAACUGCUUUUGAAACUGUGCAGCUAGAGUGCAGGAGAGGUAAGCGGAAUUCCUAGUGUAGCGGUGAAAUGCGUAGAUAUUAGGAGGAACACCAGUGGCGAAGGCGGCUUACUGGACUGUAACUGACGUUGAGGCUCGAAAGCGUGGGGAGCAAACAGGAUUAGAUACCCGAGUAGUC
rnacentral:rRNA from 1 species